AUGAACGCUAGCUACAGGCUUAACACAUGCAAGUCGAGGGGCAGCAUGGUCUUAGCUUGCUAAGGCCGAUGGCGACCGGCGCACGGGUGAGUAACACGUAUCCAACCUGCCGUCUACUCUUGGACAGCCUUCUGAAAGGAAGAUUAAUACAAGAUGGCAUCAUGAGUCCGCAUGUUCACAUGAUUAAAGGUAUUCCGGUAGACGAUGGGGAUGCGUUCCAUUAGAUAGUAGGCGGGGUAACGGCCCACCUACUCUUCGAUGGAUAGGGGUUCUGAGAGGAAGGUCCCCCACAUUGGAACUGAGACACGGUCCAAACUCCUACGGGAGGCAGCAGUGAGGAAUAUUGGUCAAUGGGCGAGAGCCUGAACCAGCCAAGUAGCGUGAAGGAUGACUGCCCUAUGGGUUGUAAACUUCUUUUAUAAAGGAAUAAAGUCGGGUAUGGAUACCCGUUUGCAUGUACUUUAUGAAUAAGGAUCGGCUAACUCCGUGCCAGCAGCCGCGGUAAUACGGAGGAUCCGAGCGUUAUCCGGAUUUAUUGGGUUUAAAGGGAGCGUAGAUGGAUGUUUAAGUCAGUUGUGAAAGUUUGCGGCUCAACCGUAAAAUUGCAGUUGAUACUGGAUAUCUUGAGUGCAGUUGAGGCAGGCGGAAUUCGUGGUGUAGCGGUGAAAUGCUUAGAUAUCACGAAGAACUCCGAUUGCGAAGGCAGCCUGCUAAGCUGCAACUGACAUUGAGGCUCGAAAGUGUGGGUAUCAAACAGGAUUAGAUACCCUGGUAGUCCACACGGUAAACGAUGAAUACUCGCUGUUUGCGAUAUACUGCAAGCGGCCAAGCGAAAGCGUUAAGUAUUCCACCUGGGGAGUACGCCGGCAACGGUGAAACUCAAAGGAAUUGACGGGGGCCCGCACAAGCGGAGGAACAUGUGGUUUAAUUCGAUGAUACGCGAGGAACCUUACCCGGGCUUAAAUUGCAGAUGAAUUACGGUGAAAGCCGUAAGCCGCAAGGCAUCUGUGAAGGUGCUGCAUGGUUGUCGUCAGCUCGUGCCGUGAGGUGUCGGCUUAAGUGCCAUAACGAGCGCAACCCUUGUUGUCAGUUACUAACAGGUUCUGCUGAGGACUCUGACAAGACUGCCAUCGUAAGAUGUGAGGAAGGUGGGGAUGACGUCAAAUCAGCACGGCCCUUACGUCCGGGGCUACACACGUGUUACAAUGGGGGGUACAGAGGGCCGCUACCACGCGAGUGGAUGCCAAUCCCAAAAACCUCUCUCAGUUCGGACUGGAGUCUGCAACCCGACUCCACGAAGCUGGAUUCGCUAGUAAUCGCGCAUCAGCCACGGCGCGGUGAAUACGUUCCCGGGCCUUGUACACACCGCCCGUCAAGCCAUGGGAGCCGGGGGUACCUGAAGUGCGUAACCGCGAGGAGCGCCCUAGGGUAAAACUGGUGACUGGGGCU
rnacentral:rRNA from 1 species